CUUGGUGUCUUCGUCGAGGUCGAGACACAGCAUCCCUUUCCGAACUGCGUGGUGAAAGGCCUUUGAGAUAACGAUAGGAUACGGGUAGCUGUAUCUGAAAACAUAUCGAUGCCAAGA
rfam:Micromonas pusilla CCMP1545 chloroplast, partial genome.